AAAAUCCCAAGGAGCUUUGUGUUUUCCAGACGCAAGUUGCCUGGUCCUCUGAAUCAGCUUCAAGAUGAUUUGAGGAAACUGAUGCUUCCUUACACUGCCCUUAAGCUUAAGGAGAAGAGGCGGAACAAUCUUAGAAACUUUUUGAUUGUGGCUGGGCCUAUGGGGGUUACACAUUUCCUCAUGUUGUAAAAAACUCCAACUGCGCCAUACCUUAGGGUUGCGAGGGCACCUCAAGGCUCAACGAUAUUUUCAUAAGAUAUGCAAAGGGUUCCAUUUCUAUUGUCUUUGUGGGUUUUUAGGGGUGCAGAUCCUGAUUGACAAGGAAGAAUAGAAACGGAUAUAACAACAGUGAGACCAAAUGGGAGAUCCAAUGAAAAAAAAAAUAUCAAUGGAUAAACCGAGGCCUAUAGAUUCCAAUUGCCUUACAACCGCCGCCAGAGAGGUCGGAUUGUCCAGAGCGCUGCCUCUUCCUCCAGCAACACCGUUGUGUCAGAUGUUAAGCUGCAGCUCCAGGAGGAGGACCACAUCAAUGGCUUCAAUCCCAUUUCCACUUUUGCUUCCGUGUGGUUCGAAUUUGCCAGGAAUGUGUCCGGUGAAUGGGAUGGCCAUGGAGCAGACUUUACAAGGGAAGGGUGCCCAAUAAAACUUCCCGAGAAUGUUGUACCUGCAGCUUACAGGGAGUGGGAGGUUACGGUUUUCGAUUGGCAGACUCAAUGCCCCACUCUUGCUAACCCAGAUGAGCACAUUCUUUUAUACAAGAAUAUAGAGCUACUUCCUGCUGUUGGAUGUGAAGCUAAUGCUGCCACUCGAUGACUCCAGAGAUUGUUGAUGAUCCAUUCCAAACUAUGUGAGUUUUCAAGAAGAGCUAGCCAAUUUAACAUGAGCGGAUAUGAGGGAAUCUGAUUUCAGUGGUUCUACUUUCAAUGGUGCAUACAUGGAGAAAGCUGUCACGUAUAAGGCAAACUUUGAGGGAAGAGCACUGUGGUGUGUGCUUUGAGUGGGAGUUUGUACCGCAGGGGAAGCUGUUGUACAUUCUUGAUGGGGACAAUGUCAGGCAUGGCUUGAAUUGCGACCUUAGUUUUAAAGCCGAAAAUCGUGCAGAGAACAUUUGGAGGAUUGGUAGUAUGUGAACCACCGGUUAAGAAAAUGGGUCCAAAUUCAGAGCUGCAUUUUUCUUCCCUCAAAAUAAGAAGAAAACAUUUCCUCAACUCCAUAUUUCAGCACCUCAACUCUAAAGCCUUCUAUUUCUUUCUGUUUCUUCAGAGCUAAUUUACCCAUAUUUUAUUUGUAAAGUGAAAGAUUGGAUUUCACAUGUUUGAGUACUUCCGGUUUUGUACAAUACAAACUUGAGCUUAUUGAUCCAAAUGGCUAGAACAGUAUACUCAACCAAUUUCAUAUCCUCUUGGCCAAAUAAGAGUAUAAUACUUGCUACUAAGAAAAAUACUUCUAUAAUAGCAAUGUGUUGGUGUGUGGCAUGCUCUAAUUAGAGAUAUUUUUGGGUUAUAAUAAGAAAGCCACAAAGAGAGAGAGAGCGUUUGUUUAUUUGGAUUUGGUUAAUGUUUCAAUCGUAAAUGUGAUGAUAGAAUGAAAGCUGAGGACACACAAAUAAUAAAUGUAGUUUGGAAUUUGUAAGUUACAAGCUUAUGGAAAGUAAGCUUUUGUAGUUGUUUAAUGACAUAGUCAAAGAGUUGUCCAUCUAAUGUUUACUCUACAAUGGCUGUCAAUGAACACUAUAGUCUCAUUCCGUGGGAGAAAUUUCAAAGUAAGAUGUUAAUGUCUGAAACAAGCCUAUGUUGAAAUUUAUUUCAUCGUUUUGUUUUUUGUAUGAUAUAUUUAUUGUUGAAAUUUUCUUACUGCUUUGUUUUAUAAAAGAUUCAGGAUGGGGAUAAUUUAGCUUUCAUCGAUUGGCAUCGUUUUUUAAGUUUUGUCUGUGCUUUUGUUUGCAGGAUCAACUUGGGAAAGAACAGAGGAGAGCACAAGUAUUAUCGAUUUAUUUGCUAUAGUAUUGUCCCUCUUCCUCUGGCCUCCUGAAGUGUUUCCAUUCCAGUGUCACCAUCUUUUGUUUCAUUCAUUUGUAGAAUAUAUUCUUCUUUUUUCUAUGCCUUUAUUACCUCCUUUUAACUUUGAUUAUUUGUACUUGAUGAGUAUUAUUAGACCCAUUCUCAAAAAUUGCAUCCCCUGCUUCUUCCUUAUGGUCCUUAUACUCAAACAUGUGCAAGUUUGUAUUUUUCUAUGGGAUUGGACUGUUGGGAACUUAGGUACUUUUACUUUUUAUAUAUUUUUGUUGGGUUUUUUCUUUUUCGGAAAAUGAGUAUUUGAUUAAUCGCUUGAGUUGUGCUUUCAAAAGGACUGUUAGAAGUUUUGUGUCAAUUUGGUUGUGAUGGUAAGAUUACUUUAUGUAACAUUAUGUUGUGGCAUGUGAGUGUCGAACUUUUUUCUUAAUUUAAUUUCGGAAAGAAAUGCGUUUAACAGUAGUCCUAUAUGAUGAAGUUAGCAUCCUUAUAAGUUGGGAACCUAAAACAAUAGUGGUGUACCCAUAAAUUCCUAAUUUUCUCUGCCUCCUUCCCCUCUACUUGCAUCAGUUGUGACUUAUUUUCUUUUUUGGUUCUAUCUCAGGAGUUUGUUAGGGAGAAAGUUCAUGAAUGAAAGAAAUCUAAUCGAGAGAUAAAAGUUAGGAUCUGCAGAGAUUAAAAAGUGAAAAAGGGCGAAGGAAAGCGAUGCUGACUCACGAAAGAUGGUUCAAAUCUCUGUUGGAGGUACAUUGGAUUUAUGUUUCUGAUGUGUUAAGUACAUUGUUAGAACUAUAGAUUUGGAUUGAACUCAAUGUUGUCCGUGUGUAUAUUGAAAUAUGUGUGUAUAUAUAGAUAUGUGUGUGUAUAGAUUUAUACACAAGGGGAAGAUGGAUGGAUAGGUGUAUGCUUAGUCCGUAAAAGAAGAGAAAACGAAAACCACACCAAACAACUCGCAUUUAAAGCUCUUUUUCUUUUUUCCUUUUGACAUAAAUCUCUCUUUGUUAGAUUGCUAGGGGGCUGAUUCUUUCUCGAAUUUGUGGUGCACAAAAAAUGGUUUAGUAUAUGUGAAGGGGAUGAGAGAAGGCAGAUAUGAAAAUGUUGUAUCAGAGAUGAUUCCUUUACAGAGUUCGGUGCUUACGUUUGUAGCUUUAAGAUCGGUGUGGAUGUUUCAUAACAUUCAAGGAUCCUCAAUUCCAAUGUGUUUCAUAACAAUGAAGGAUCCCCGAUUCUACUAUCAGCAUGGAUGUUUCAUAACAUUGAAGGAUCCCCUAUUCCAGUGUGGAUGUUUCAUUGUACAAUGUGUUUAUAUGUUAUCUCACUUGAAUGUACAUAAAAGCAAAAUUGCUUAUCUUAUCGACUUCAUUUACUCA